UCAGGGUUGGAUCAAAUCUCUGCAGGAAAGUGGCCUGGAAGGGCAAGUUUGCCCAUCACUGCCCUAGUGCUUUUGAAUGCGCAUUUUAAAUGCUAUUUUAGCGUCACUGCUUAUAGUAUAAUGUUAACGUCAAAGAAGGGCACUAAUGUUAACGUUAGCCGGCAUUUUUUCAGUAAACGCAGUCCUAACGUACGUUUUGAAUGUCGCUGCUGUUAACUGCAAUGUUUAGGGCUGCGUUACUCAAAAGAGACCAUUGAGACCAUUUGGUGUCAAAUGUUUCUACUAUCAUCUUAGCUAUACAAUGCUUUUUUUGGGAAAUGCCCUGGUAAAUGUGAUUGUCUGUUUUUAAACAACUAGCUGCUAAGAGUAUUAAUCCAAAAUUAGGUUAAAGCUAAUACACAGACAUGAACUUUGCAAUAUAUUACAUUUACAAAAGCAAUCUACAAACUUGUAGUAAACCUUUACAAACUUUCUUUAAUUGCAGGCUGAGCUGGAUGAUGAAUACAAAAGAGUGAGCCUCAACACUUAAGUGGUUUUCUAGGUUUGUGCUGAGUUUAACCAUAUCAGAGAAAGUGGCACACACCAGCAAGAUUUCACAGAUGUUGCAUGACAUUCGAAAUGUUUGAUCUUCAGUGUACGUGUGUGAGGAGAACUGUUCUUCAGGACAUGAAAUGAGGAAUUGGGCGAGCCAGACAUCACUGACACAAACACCUCUCUUGCUGAUUUUGUUAUCAUGGACAACGAAACCACUACAAGUCCUGCAAGCACUGCAGUUGUGAUGAGAUGAUCUUCCAGUGUUUGACAUUCAGAAAUACACAGUUCAUGCGGUUUAAAAAAGGCUGAAUAAAAAAUCCUCAAUUGUA